rnacentral:rRNA from 1 species
UUGGAGGGCAAGUCUGGUGCCAGCAGCCGCGGUAAUUCCAGCUCCAAUAGCGUAUAUUAAAGUUGUUGCAGUUAAAAAGCUCGUAGUUGAAUUUCGAGAUCAAUUUGUCGGUCGUGCCUCGGUACGUACUGGCAUUAUUGAUUUCUCCCUUCUGAAGAACCGCGAUGUCAUUAAUUUGGUGUCGUGGGGAAUCAGGACUGUUACUUUGAAAAAAUUAGAGUGUUUAAAGCAGGCGCACGCUUGAAUACAUUAGCAUGGAAUAAUGUAAUAGGACGUUUGAUUCUAUUUUGUUGGUUUCUAGGAUCGACGUAAUGAUUAAUAGGGAUAGUUGGGGGCAUUAGUAUUCAAUUGUCAGAGGUGAAAUUCUUGGAUUUAUUGAAGACUAACUACUGCGAAAGCAUUUGCCAAGGAUGUUUUCAUUAAUCAAGAACGAAAGUUAGGGGAUCGAAGACGAUCAGAUACCGUCGUAGUCUUAACCAUAAACUAUGCCGACUAGGGAUCGGAUGAUGUUAAUUUUUUAAUGACUCAUUCGGCGCCUUACGGGAAAC